rnacentral:lncRNA from 1 species
GCUGAUGUGGAAAAUACUAAUCCAUGCAUUAUAAGAUCUGACAUGAGUCAGCAACGUCUGAACUGUCUCACACCCAUCAGGACAGGACAGGCAGCAUUCCAUUCCAUGUACCUGUAGGUUAGGUGAUACAAAAAGGAAGAUGUGGAUCACUAACAUAAAAAUUGAUUGGUCAAAAUGAGAAUGACAUGAUAAUGGGCCAAUGGGGAAAAGUAGGUGGGAGGUGGGUACACUCUAGACUGACAGCGAACCGAAUGACACAAACAUGAACGAGAUGCGGUGUAGACAAGAAUAACAUUUCUGUCUUCAGUGGCAAACAAAAAUCCACAAUCGAACUUGGAAAUGCCAAGCCUUCUGGAGCAACCUGAAAGUGUCGUGAUGGAUCACUUUCCUAAGAAGAGGCCCCUGUCUGAAGGGAGCGAUGUGAACUCUCCCAGCAACACAGACAGUUCUUCUGAUAGAUGCCCUCCUGAGGAGGACGUGCCUGCUACAUCAAACAUAUCCCAGAGUGAGGAGAACGAGAACCACCAAUGUAAGAAGAGGCACCUAUCGCUGUCUGAGGAUCCUGUGUACCAUGAGGAUGAUGUGAACCCCGACACAAACGUUUUUUCGAACGGAGGGCCUCCUGAGGAGGAUAUGGAUGCUACAUCAACCAGAUCCCACAGUGAGGGGAUUGAGAUCCACCAGAGAGGAAGCCCCAGUCCUGUGAACAUCAACUUUCCAGACCAGUCAAUGGACCUCCCAAAUCAAGAAGGAAACGAAUUAUGUGAUACAAUUUACCUUUUACAAACAAAAGUUUGCAAUCAAAAGAUGAAUGCUAAAUAUACAUGGGCAUUCUUAAAGUCAACUGCUGAUGUGUUUGUUGCAAUUUUGGAACCUAACAAUAUAGAGAAUAUGGAAAACAAACCUCUUAUUAGUCAUACCGAAGAGUUACUUCUUGAGGAAGUGAAAAUAACGUUGGAAAACAAAGAGCAAUUGCAAAAUACAAAAUGUUCUAUGUAUUCGCUCAACGCUCCUUCGCAAAUUACAGGUCAUACAAUAACGGAUUUAGCAGAACUGAACAAGUAUGGCAUAACAACGAUUUUUACGGACUGUCCGACGGAAAACCAAAACAUCCCAAAUCAUUUUGAAAACGUUCCUGAAUUUCUUGAUAAGUACUACUCAUUACAAACAAAAGGUUGCAAACAAAAGUUUGAUACGCAACAUGCAUGGGCAUUUAUCGAGUCACCUUGUGGCGGAGAACCGGUUUUUGUUGGUUUAUUUAAAUUAGAAGAUUGCAAGAAGAUGUGCAAGGGCAAACCUUUAAAUAUUCAUACCGAAAAGUUACUUCUUGAGGAAGUAAAACAAAUAUUGAAAAACAAUGAGAAAUUGCGGAAUACUAAACUGUUUAUCUAUACGCUCAACUCUCCUUGUUUGCAAAAUUCAGGUCAUGAGUCAUGCAUGGAUUUACUGAUUAAGGAUUCAGCAGAACUGUACAAAUCUUAUAGUAUAAAAACUAUUGUUGGAUAUAGCAAAUGGUACGGUUCGACUGGACAGGUGACAACCUUUAUAGAUCCAUAUAUCAGCUCAUUCAAUCACUUUAAUUUGAUAAUCAGUAGUUCUAAUUAUGCGAACUAUUGUGAUGAAUUUGUAAUUUUUAACACUGAGCAUAACAAUAAGAAAAGCCGUGACUCUAAAUCUAAUUUUGAAGACAGCGCACUUCCCGAGCAACUUUAUAUUUUGAGUAAACAAUUUCUGCCCAAAAACAUUUCAGAAGUACCUUUCAGAUUGAAAAAGUUUAAAGACAUCCAUAAGCGUGUGACAAAUAAAUUUAUGUCAAUUAGCAAUUAUGAUAAAAAAAAUGUGAAAACUGAUAAGAAGAAAGAGAAAAGUCUUGACCUAGAUUUUUCCAUACCCCAUUUUGGAACUCUAAAUGAAUUCCAAGAAGUUGGAGAGUCUCUAGCUGAAAAAUUUGACUUGGUAAAACACAUUGGUAAUAACUUAGAUCAAUCUAAAGUAAAUUUCAUAAAAUGGUGGACUAAAACAAUUGCGGACGAAUAUACUACUUUUCUUCGAGAAGACAUUAAUAGACGACUUAGUGAAGAUAAACACAGAAUCGCAGUCCUCGAUCACAUCAGGAAUAACACUGCAGGAUAUUUACAGUUUUGUCACUUACCACUAAGCCCUUUCCACAAACUAUUUAAUUAAUACAUGCAGCAUAUUCAUUUGAGGUUGUGAGCUAAAGAUCAUUUUAUAUAUAUAUUUGAAUAAAUCAAAUUGUAUUGGUCAUACACAUGGUUAGCAUAUAUUAAUGUGAGUGUAGGGAAAUGCUUGUACUUCUAGUUCCGACUAUGCAGUAAUAUCUAACAAAUUCCCAACAACUACCUUAUACACACAAAGGUAAAGGGAUGAAUAGAAUAUGUACGCAUAAAUAUAUGGAUGAGUAAUGUGAGAGCGGCAUAGGCUUCGAUGCAACUGAUAGUAUAGAAUACACUAUAUACAUAUGAGAUGAGUAAUGUAGGAUAUGUAAACAUUAUUAAAGUGGCGUUAUUUAAAGUGACUAGUGAUACUCGGGAGAGGCAAAGGUCGAGAGCCAUGCGUCCUCCGAAACACAACCCAACCAAGCCGCACUGCUUCUUGACACAAUUUAACAGUCUGAUGGCCUUGAGAUAGGAGCUGUUUUUCAGUCUCUUGGACCCAGCUUUGAUGCACCUGUACUGACCUCGCCUUCUGGAUGAUAGCGGGGUGAACAGGCAGUGGCUCGGGUGGUUGUUGUCCUUGAUGAUUUUUUGGCCUUCCUGUAACAUUGGGUGCUUUAGCUGUCCUGCAGGGCAGGUAGUUUGCACCCAGUGAUGCGUUGUGCAGACCGCACUACCCUCUGGAGAGCCUUGCUGUUGAGGGCGGUGCAAUUGCCGUACCAGAUGGUGAUACAGCCCGACAGGAUGCUCUCGAUUGCGCAUCUAAAAGUUUUUGAGUGUUUUUGGUGACAACCCAAAUUUCUACAGCCUCCUGAGGUUGAAGAGGCGCUGUUGCGCCUUCUUCACCACCCUAUCUGUCUGUGUGGGUGGACCAUUUCAGUUUGUCCAUGAUGUGUACGCCGAGAAACUUAAAACAGACCCUCUGCUGUGGGAGAUCACACCUACUGACCCAAGGUGGUUGAGAAUGGUUAUGGGAGCUGGACACGCAGCGACUCAGACCCUCUGCUGUGGGAGAUCACACCUACUGACCCAAGGUGGUUGAGAAUGGUUAUGGGAGCUGGACACGCAGCGACUCAGACCCUCUGCUGUCAGAGAUCACGCCUACUGACCCAAGGUGGCUGAGAAUGGUUAUGGGAGCAGGACACGCAGCGACUCAGACCCUCUGCUGUCAGAGAUCACGCCUACUGACCCAAGGUGGCUAAGAAUGGUUAUGGGAGCAGGACACACAGCGACCCAGACCCUCUGCUGUGGGAGAUCACACCUACUGACCCAAGGUGGUUGAGAAUGGUUAUGGGGGCUGGAUAUCAUAAUGAUGUCUCCACUCCCCCAAUGGUGAAUUGCUGUACUCUAAACAUAUGCUUUAAUACUAAUAAAAAUAUAAUUGAUUUAAAAAAUUUAGUUUCCUCAUUUAACGCUGUAUGUGGAUUUUUUGUAUAUUCAGCUGUGGCCAAAAGUUUUCAAAAUGACACAAAUAUACAUUUUCACUAAGUCUGCUGCCUCAGUUUGUAUGAUGGCAAUUUGCAUAUACUCCAGAAUGUUAUGAAGAGUGAUCAGAUGAAUUGCAAUUAAUUGCAAAGUCCCUCUUUGCCAUGCAAAUGAACUGAAUCCCAAAAAACAUUUUCACUGCAUUUCAGCCCUGCCACAAAAGAACCAGCUGACAUCAUGUCAGUGAUUCUCUCAUUAACACAGGUGUGAGUGUUGACGAGGACAAGGCUGGAGAUCACUCUGUCAUGCUGAUUGAGUUCGAAUAACAGACUGGAAGCUUCAAAAGGAGGGUGGUGCUUGGAAUCAUUGUUCUUCCUUUGUCAACCAUGGUUACCUGCAAGGAAGCACGUGCCAUCAUCAUUGCUUUGCACAAAAAUGGCUUCACAGGCAAGGAAAUUGCUGCCAGUAAGAUUGCACCUAAAUCAACUAUUUAUCGGAUCAUCAAGAACUUCAAGGAAAACGGUUCAAUUGUUGUGAAGAAGGCUUUAGGGCGCCCAAGAAAGUCCAGCAAGCUUCAGGAGCAUCUCCUAAAGUUGAUUCAGCUGCGGGAUCGGGGCACCACCAGUACAGAGCUAUCUAUCAUUUUACUGAUUGAUAAAUACAAUAGGUCCUGGUAGGGGGGAAAAAAGUUACGUAAUCAAUACAAUUUUUUUCAAGUAGAAAGGAACAGUCAAGCUUCAGUAACUGUCAAAAGGGAAGUUCAAGAAAUAGUUUUUUGCUAAAAAGCUAUUUGUUUCUUUUUGACAAUUUUUAAAGCAAACUAUUACUUAUUAGUAUUUAUGCUGCAAUAGUUUGUGUUGGGGGCUAGGGAUAGUCUGUUAUAUUUGGAGUACUUCUCGUCUUAUCCGGUGUACUGUGUGAAUUUAAGUAUGCUCGCUCUAAUUCUCUCUUUCUCUUUCUUUCUUUCUCUCUGUCGGAGGACCUGAGCCCAAGGACCAUGCCUCAGGACUACCUGGCCUGAUGACUCCUUGCUGUCCCCAGUCCACCUGGUCAUGCUACUGCUCCAGUUUCAACUGUUCUGCCUGCGGCUAUGGAACCCUGACCUGUUUACUGGAUGUGCUACUUUGUCCCGGACCUGACUCUCUCUCUACUGCACCUGCUGUCUCUAACUCUGAAUGAUGGGCUAUGAAAAGCCAACUGACAUUUACUCCUGAGGUGCUGACCUGUUGCACCCUCUACAACCACUGUGAUUAUUAUUAUUUGGCCCUGCUGGUCAUCUAUGAACAUUUGAACAUCUUGGCCAUGUUCUGUUAUAAUCUCCACCCGGUACAGCCAGAAGAGGACUGGCCACCCCUCAUAGCCUGGUUCCUCUCUAGGUUUCUUCCUAGGUUCUGGCCUUUCUAGGGAGUUUUUCCUAGCCACCGUGCUUCUACACCUGCAUUCCUUGCUGUUUGGGGUUUUAGGCUGGGUUUCUGUACAACCCUUUGUGAAUACAUUUGAUUUAUUGAAUACACUUCGGCAUGUACUUCAAUGUUAUCAAGAAUUUAUUUGAAAAGCUAUUGAAAUAAAAACAGCUGCAUUGAAUAGAAUUUCACUAAACAAUUAUUAGUUACUAGUUAUUGGCAACAAGGUAAUAAAUACAUAAUUGAAAACUACUGAUAAAGAUUUAUUUUCUUUAUUAGUAGCAUUGUUAUUGGUAUAAGACUGGAGUGAGUGAGUAGUCGUGCUGUACUUCGCUCCGCGGGUAAUAUUACAUUUCAUUACAUUACAAUGGAACGAUUUGAUUAGUGUAAUGUUAGCUAGCUAGCUACAUAGUUGUCUUUGCUGUCUUUGUAUCAAGGAUAAAGGUGUAGCUAAAGGUGUAGCUUUGAGAAACUAACUUUGAGAAACUAACAAGGUUAGCUAGCCAGCUGUAUUCGUUCGCAGUUUUCCAAAUGGCGUCAACACCACAACACCACAGCCACUGCUAGCUAGCCAACUUUACCAACUAGCAGUACUGUGGAAACUAAAUACAUUACAACGGAACGAUUUGAUUAGUGUAAUGUUAGCUAGCUACAUAGUUGUCUUUGUAUCAAAGAUAAAGGUAAACGCAGCCACUGCUAGCUAGCCAACUCUACCAGCUAGCAGUACUGUAUCAUUUUUAGUCAAUAAGAUUUUUGCAAUGUUAGCUUAACUUUCUGAACUUUCGAGUUGUGUAGUCCACUUGUGUAGCUAGCAGGUCUGACUUUGUGUUAGCUAGCCAACGUUUAAUUACUUCUGCGUUAUGAAAGGAACUAGUCACGGACACGAAUGAUACAUUGGUAGUUUGUUGUAACCAAGUAUUGGUGCUAACCGCGUGUUAUUGGAUGCUAGCAUGCUAGUUAGCUAAGGCGUCAUAGGAUACGGUGCACUGGGUGGGUUUCACGGAAGAAGACUGUACCAAGUUAUCUAGCUGAAUAAACUAGGUUUGAGCCUAUUCCUGGAAACAUUGAACCACUGUAGUUUACAUCAAUUAUAAUUUCUAAAGUGGAAGUUGGAAAAGUUAUGUUUGAGUGUUUCAGUGAAUGGUUAGUGAGGGAGGCCCUGCUCUCUAACUUCCCCAGUUGUUUAGUUAAUUUUCAUUCCAAUCUCCUUUGCAUUAGCGUAGCCUCUCCUGUAGCCUGUCAACUAUGUGUCUGUCUAUCCCUGUUCUCUCCUCUCUGCACAGGCCACACAAACGCUUCACACCGCAUGGCCGCUGCCACUCUAACCUGGUGGUCCCAGCGCGCACGACCCCCUUGGAGUUGAAGGUCUCCGGCAGCCUCUGGAAUUGCCGGUCUGCGGCCAACAAGGCAGAGUUCAUCUCAGCCUAUGCUACCCUCCAGUCCCUCAACUUCUUGGCGCUGACGGAAACAUGGAUUACCACAGAAAACACUGCUACUCCUACUGCUCUCUCCUCGUCUGACCACGUGUUCUCGCAUACCCCGAGAGCAUCUGGUCAGCAGGGUGGUGGCACUGGAAUCCUCAUCUCUCCCAAGUGGACAUUCUCUCUUUCUCCCCUGACCCAUCUCCUCCUUUGAACUCCAUGCUGUCGAAGUCACUAGCCCAUUCAAGCUUAACAUCCUUAUCAUUUAUCGCCCUCCAGGUUCCCUUGGAGAGUUCAUCAAUGAGCUUGACGCCUUGAUAAGUUCCUUUCCUGAGGAUGGCUCACCCCUCACAAUUCUGGGUGACUUUAACCUCCCUACGUCUACCUUUGACUAAUUUCUCUCUGCCUCCUUCUUUCCACUCCUCUCCUCUUUUGACCUCACCCUCUCACCGUCCCCCCUACUCACAAGGCAGGCAAUACGCUUGACCUCAUCUUUACUAGAUGCUGUUCUUCCACUAAUCUCACUGCAACUCCCCUCCAAGUCUCCGACCACUACCUUGUAUCCUUUUCCCUCUCGCUCUCCUCCAACACUACUCACUCUGCCCCUACUCAGACGGUAUUGCGCCGUCGCAACCUUCGCUCUCUCUCUCCUGCUACUCUCACCUCUUCCAUCCUAUCAUCUCUUCCCUCUGCUCAAUCCUUCUCCAACCAAUCUCCUGAUUCUACCUCCUCAACCCUCCUCUCCUCCCUUUCUGCAUCCUUUGACUCUCUAUGUCCCCUUUCCUCCCAGCCGGCUCGGUCCUCCCCUCCUGCUCCGUGGCUUGACGACUCAUUGCGAGCUCACAGGACAGGGCUCCGGGCAGCCGAGCGGAAAUGGAGGAAAGCUAGCCUCCCUGCGGACCUGGCAUCUUUUCACUCCCUCCUCUCUACAUUUUCUUCCUCUGUUUCUGCUGCUGAAGCCACUUUCUACCACUCUAAAUUCCAAGCAUCUGCCUCUAACCCUAGGAAGCUCUUUGCCACCUUCUCCUCCCUCCUGAAUCCUCCUCCCCCUCCCCCCAUCCUCCCUCUCUGCGGAUGACUUCGUCAACCAAUUUUGAAAAGAUGGUUGACGACAUCCGAUCCUCGUUUGUUAAGUCAAACAACAGCGCUGGUCCUGCUCACAUUACCCUACCCUAUGCUUUGACCUCUUUCUCCCCUCUCUCUCCAGAUGAAAUCUUGCGACUUGUGACGGCCGGCCGCCCAACAACCUGCCCGCUUGACCCUAUCCCCUCCUCUCUUCUCCAGACCAUUUCCGGAGACCUUCUCCCUUACCUCACCUCGCUCAUCAACUCAUCCUUGAACGCUGGCUACGUCCCUUCUGUCUUCAAGAGAGCGAGAGUUGCACCCAUUCUCAAAAAACCUACACUCGAUCCCUCCGAUGUCAACAACUACAGACCAGUAUCCCUUCUUUCUUUUCUCUCCAAAACUCUUGAGCGUGCCGUCCUUGGCCAGCUCUCUUGCUAUCUCUCUCAGAAUGACCUUCUUGAUCCAAAUCAGUCAGGUUUCAAGACUGGUCAUUCAACUGAGACUGCUCUUCUCUGUGUCACGGAGGCUCUCCCCACUACUAAAGCUAACUCUCUCUCCUCUGCUCUCAUCCUUCUAGACCUAUCUGCUGCCUUUGAUACUGUGAACCAUCAGAUCCUCCUCUCCACCCUCUCCGAGUUGGGCAUCUCCGGCGUGGCUCACUCUUGGAUUGCGUCCUACCUGACAGGUCGCUCCUACCAGGUGGCGUGGUAGGAGCGAGGUUCUAGGCCCUCUCCUAUUCUCGCUAUACACCAAGUCACUUGGCUCUGUCAUAUCCUCACAUGGUCUCUCCUAUCAUUGCUACGCAGAUGACACACAAUUAAUCUUCUCCUUUCCACCUUCUGAUAACCAGGUGGCGAAUCGCAUCUCUGCAUGUCUGGCAGACAUAUCAGUGUGGAUGACGGAUCACCACCUCAAGCUGAACGUCGGAAAGACGGAGCUGCUCUUCCUCCCAGGGAAGGACUGCCCGUUCCAUGAUCUCGCCAUCACGGUUGACAACUCCAUUGUGUCCUCCUCCCAGAGUGCUAAGAGCCUUGGCGUGACCCUGGACAACAGCCUGUCAUUCUCCGCUAACAUCAAGGCGGUUCAUGCUCUACAACAUUCGCAGAGUACGACCCUGCCUCACACAGGAAGCGGCGCAGGUCCUAAUCCAGGCACUUGUCAUCUCCCGUCUGGAUUACUGCAACUCGCUGUUGGCGGGGCUCCCUACCUGUGCCAUUAAACCCCUACAACUCAUCCAGAACGCCGCAGCCCGUCUGGUGUUCAACCUUCCCAAGUUCUCUCACGUCACCCCGCUCCUCCGCACACUCCACUGGCUUCCAGUUGAAGCUCGCAUCUGCUACAAGACCAUGGUGCUUGCCUACGGAGCUGUGAGGGGAACGGCACCUCCGUACCUUCAGGCUCUGAUCAGUCCCUACACCCAAAGAAGGGCACUGCGUUCAUCCACCUCUGGCCUGCUCGCCUCCCUACCUCUGCAGAAGCACAGUUCCCGCUCAGCCCAGUCAAAACUGUUCGCUGCUCUGGGACCCCAAUGGUGGAACAAGCUCCCUCACGACGCCA